AUAUUACUCCCUCCGUUCGGAAUUACUUGUCGCAGAAAUGGAUGUAUCUAGAUGUAUUUUAGUUCUAGAUACAUCCAUUUUCGAGACAAAUAAUUCCGAACAGAGGGAGUAGUUG
rnacentral:pre_miRNA from 1 species